AGUAUAGUGUAGAUUCAACGAAUCCUGAGCGAGCUUGACUAUUAAUACUAGCACAGGUGACAGUGUGUAUCUUAGCCUUAGGAGUGGCUUCAUUUGUAAAAUAUUGUUUGGUUUUUAAUAAUGGUGUUGGGGGUGUGCCGGAUAGUGCUUUGCCGGAUGGUACCAGAUACUAGUCCGCCAGUUGCAGAAACAACCGGAUACCGAUGCACGGUCAUAUUUGGACAAUAUGUCACUAUCUUUUUGUCGUAAAACUUUCUGUUGUCUGUUUAGUAUGUG